GUGGGGGAAAAGGAAGGGGAAGGGGUGGCGGUGGCGGGUGAGGGAAGGGAGAAUUAGGGUUUAGGGGUGGGGAAGGUUGGGGAAGAUGAUGAUGUGAUUUUUUUUUUAAUUUUUUGUCCAUGUGUCAUUUUCGGCUGCCACCGUGUCUUUUUCGGUGCCAGCGUAAGAAAAAAUCGAUCAUCGGACAAAUUCGAGACAAAAACGAAAGGUUAUGUAUUUAAAAGUAGAUUUUUUAAAUUAGAAGCAAAAACCAAUUUC
rnacentral:lncRNA from 1 species